CCCCCUAACAACACUUCUUCCGUUCUUGGAAACACACCCUCUUCUUUGAAACAAUGCCUUAAAAGCGACAACCCUAACACAGAGCUCAUCACCCUAACGGCGGCGGCGCUCUUCACCUAACAUAGAGCUCAUCGCCGGUGCUCUCACUCUCCCCCCCAAUAACAUUCGUUGGUCAACCUCGUUCCAACCCUCUCUAGCAACCCCUACGUAGGUGCCAUCUCUGCCGGUGUUCCCUGCGUCGGUGCUCCUUCCGUCUCUCCUGUAAACACCUAUCCCUCCUUCGGCGGUGACUCACUCUGGUAAGGCCUCCCUCGGCGCUCACUCUCUAUCGCAAACCAUCCGUCGACGCUCACUCUCUCUCGCAAACCCUCAAUCGUCACUCCUCCCUCCAUGGUUCAGUACCCGCCGCGUUGUCGUCACCCUCUCUGAAGUCGUCGCGCCGCCUCUCCAUCUCCUUCACUCGUCGCACCUCCGUCAGCCACGUUUAGUGUUCGCAGCACAUUGGGGACCCCAACUGGAGAAAAAGUCUAAGGCUGCUGGUCUUAGGGCAACUGCAAACCAUUUGCGUGAUUUGAAUCUUGAGGAUGCGCACGAAAUUCUUAGGCAAGCUGCUGAAAUUUUUGAAGGAAUAGGAAUAAUUAAUAUUGCAGCUCAAUGUUUUUCAGAUUUGGGGGAUCAUGAAAAAGCUGGUAUAAAUUUGAAGUUUAGCUUCUAUAUCUAUGCUUGUCAUCUGUUAUUAGUUACUUCUCCACAUUUUUUCCUCUUCUCUUAUCGAAGUCCGACGAAGAAAUCAAUGUAAAUAGAAAACUAGCAAAGGAACUGGUUGACAAAUGGAGCCGACCCAUAUUUAAUAGGAGUACACGGUUUGAGGACAUGAGAAAUUCUGAGGACGACAGGAUUCCUUUCAGGAGGCCAACUAUUAAAAAGUGCUCAACCAUUCUGAUUUAAAUUGCUUGUCUUAAGCAAUAUUUGUCUUAUGUAUUGCAAUAUGCUGAAUUUCUACAGGCUGGCAAAUAAAGCAGCAGGGAUAGAAUCUAGAGAUGGUGAUCUUGAUUUGGAAUUUUCACAGCCUAGGUCUGGACAGUCUUCUUCAAGGCAACAUGCAUCAAGGCCAGAAGCAACACCUUUGGAUUUUGUGAUCCAUCCCCAGUCUAAAAUUGAUCCAGAAGAAGUUAGAGUGCGAGCAAAAGCUGCUGCACAAGAUCAGCAGAGAAUGAAGCCUUUCCCAGUUGAGCAAGCGAAAAUUCUAUCACUCUCGCAUAUACCAGCCAAUGGAACUUGAAGAAGUUCUAUCAGAAGGAGAUAGUGAGGAUGAAGUUGAUGAUGAAGUUGCUGAUUUUGAAGAGCUAAGGAGGCUUGGUAAUUUUGACAAUGUGACCAAUGCUGAGAAGAAAUUCAUGCAUAUGUGGAACUCGUUUAUUCGAAAGCAACAGGCUGUUUUAGCUUGGCUUUCUAUUAUUGCGCACCACAACAAAGACAAGAAGGCAGGGGAGAAACUGAUCUCCGUGGUUGAUAUUGUGAAGGAACACUGGGCAACUUAUGGAAGAAAUUUUUUUCUAGAUAUGAUUAUGAGGAAUGUGAAUCUGAAGGUGCCAAUAAAAUGGUAGCAUACCUACGAGAGACUGCAUCAAAGAGCAAGACUGGUGAUAAGUUCUAAUGAUAAUUUUGAUAGUUCUAAUGAUCUCCUAAGUUCUAAUGAUGAACUUAUUUUGUCCUAAUUCAAUUAUUAGUUUUGUUAAAGUAUUGUAAUUUUUUAAUUACAAUUUUAGCAUGUAAAUAAUUCAUGUAAAUCAAUAAAAAAUCAAUUUUUUAUA